GAUGAACGCUGGCGGCGUGCUUAACACAUGCAAGUCGAACGGAAAGGCCAGUGCUUGCACUGGUACUCGAGUGGCGAACGGGUGAGUAACACGUGGGUGAUCUGCCCUGCACUUCGGGAUAAGCCUGGGAAACUGGGUCUAAUACCGGAUAGGACAAUGGUUUGGAUGCCGUUGUGGAAAGUUUUUUCGGUGUGGGAUGAGCUCGCGGCCUAUCAGCUUGUUGGUGGGGUAAUGGCCUACCAAGGCGUCGACGGGUAGCCGGCCUGAGAGGGUGUACGGCCACAUUGGGACUGAGAUACGGCCCAGACUCCUACGGGAGGCAGCAGUGGGGAAUAUUGCACAAUGGGCGCAAGCCUGAUGCAGCGACGCCGCGUGGGGGAUGACGGCCUUCGGGUUGUAAACUCCUUUCGCUAGGACGAAGCGUAUUUGUGACGGUACCUGGAGAAGAAGCACCGGCUAACUACGUG
rnacentral:rRNA from 1 species